rnacentral:rRNA from 1 species
AACGAACGCUGGCGGCAUGCCUAACACAUGCAAGUCGAACGGAAACGUCGGAUCUUGUGGCGCACGUGUGCGUAACGCGGGGGAACCUGCCCUUGGGUACGGAAUAACUCCCCGAAGGGGAUGCUAAGACCGGAUAAUCUCUUCGGACCAAUGAUUUAUCGCCUUUGGAUGGGGCCGCGUUGGUUUAGCUGGUUGGUAGGGUAAAAGCCUACCAAGGCGUGGAUCCAUAGCUGGUCUGAGAGGAUGCUCAGCCAGACUGGAACUACGACACGGCCCAGACUCGGACGGGAGGCAGCAGAGUGGUAUAUUGUAGAAUGGACGCAAGCCUGAUCCCGCCAUGCCGCGUAAGUGAUGAAGGGGUUAGGGUAGUAAAGCUCUUUGACACGGGAUGAUAGUGACAGUACCGGGAGAAUAAGCUCCGGCUAACUCCGUG